rnacentral:lncRNA from 1 species
AUGGUUUUCAACCGCAGCUUCUUGCUCCUUCUCAUCCUUGCAACCUUUGUAGCAAUGGUUGUUUGUGAGUGUACUUCAGAAAAUAUCGAAAGUAAAAGUUUGGAACAAAUGGGUGAAACCACCAAGAACGAUAUGGGCGCAUACAUCAAGAAACUGCUGACAAGUUACAAAGAUCUGGGCCCGGAGGCUAAGGCGAAGGUGGCUGCCAUCUCCACGGUGAUGCAGGAGCAGAUGAAGCAAAUAACGGAUAUCACUAAAUUUAAUCCUCAAGACCUUAACAAAGUCACGAAAUUAUUUGGAUAAAAUACUUUAAAACUAUAUAAACCGACUUCAUUUUUCAAUGAGGGAAUAAUAUAUCUGGCUCAUUGAAAAAAGCGAAUAACUCCAUAGGGAAACUAAAAGCACUUACGUUGUUUUUUAAAAAUGAGUCAGAAAUAGUAGUUCCUCUUUGCAAAAUGUGAUCCACAUGAAUCGCGUGGCCAGUUUUUUCUGCGAGUUUGUAUAAUUGUCAGGGAUAAGAUUGAAGGAGGAGAAGCGGAUGGAUAUUGAGUCAAAUUUUCAUCUCAUUCUAGUCAAAUUUUCUUCUCUUUCAGAUUUUUAUUCAAAAAUCUAUUGAAGAUAACUUCACCUGCAUUUGAAAAUAAAGAGUUUGUGUUUAUCUUCAAGUGAGAUUAUAUUUCUUUAACUUAUAUUUUGUGAUAAAAGAAUUUUAAUUGAAAAUUGAAAUUAUUCAUGGACUUUUCAUUUAACAUCACUAAUAUGAGUUUCCUUACAUUUUCCUAAUCGUAUUUCCAAUGUUGAAAGGGAUAGAGAACUCAUUAAAUUAGUGAGUAUUAGUUGCACGGGCCGUAACAUAGUGUUCUGAUCACAUAUUUACGAAUAAUCAAGGGGAAAAACGAAAAAGCUUGCAUACAUAGUUGAUGAAUUUGACUCAUUUACGUUUGAAAAUCCAGGAUUCCGAACGAUAGUGUUGCCGGCCAUAAAUGCCAAAAGAUGAAGUCGUGGCCUGUGAAGACAGGUCAAAGGAGAGCCUCCAAUCCAACUAGUUACGCAGAUCGCCAUCAUGUAUACAGUUUUGCCGACAGCUCUAUUGAAGGCGAAUCGUACUUGAUGAUUACCAAUUUUUUUUAGAUGUUGACUGUAAUUGAUCGAUGAUAUGAGUUGCGAUUUCAUUGCUGAUAUGUUUAUCAACUGAGAGAUGUUUUAUAUUUACAGUCAUUGCGACUUGAAUGGGGAGCUUUGCGGGAAAGUAGGGUAUAAUUCCUUGGUUUUAAUAUUUUAGUAUUUCCUUUAACACAUACCUACCAAGAAAAUUUCCAAGAUAAGCUGGGCUUCCUACUCAAAUUUACUCAUACAUUUUUUUAUCUUUAUUAGUGACUUUUUUAUCAAUCUGCAAGUAAUGAAAAAGUUGUGCUCUCGUCAGUAAUAACAGAACACUUUAAUAGAAAUUCAAAUAGCGAUUUAAAUGAAAUUAGGAUAUUCAUUAUAGCCCUCAUGCUUUAACGUACGGGGUUUUCGAGCCAAAUUAACUCAAACACGAGGAAAAAUAAAGGUUCAAAAUUUCAAAAUUAAUUGUCAAACAUAAUUGGAAAAGCUCUAAAGUAUAAAUGAUGGGAUAUUGCUGUUCCAAUUUCUUUCCAUUACGCGUCAGAAAUUAUCCUUUGAAAAUCGUCAAAAUAGUAGACAAAAGGGUGCCCAAUAUACCCCUUGUCACUCCACAAGACUUUUCACUGUUUUGAAAAUUUUCGAAAAAUAAUUCCUCGAGUAUGAUGAAAAGAAAUUUGACUUAUCACUGAUUACAACUGGAUUUGACUUCGAUCACUUAUCAUUUUAUUCAAAAAGGUGGAAAAAGUUUAAAUAAAUGAUUGAAAUACAUUUUUUCAAGAUAAAGCGAUUUUUUCUUGUAGCACACAGACUUAUUUGAGGUAAAAGAAAUUGCUUUUCAUUAAAAUGAGGUUUAUUUUUUUUUUAAAUUCGAAGAAAUACAUUUAAAACUUCCCCAUCGAAGACCAACAUUUUUCCAAUUAAAAAAGAACAUUAUUUUUCUAAAGAAAAAAAUCUCUAAAUAAAAAAGCGACUCCACAAAAAAUUAUCUUGAUUCAGAGAAAAUAAUUUUUUAAUGAAGAAAUUGAACGAUGAAAAUAAUGGAUAUUAGCACACAAGAGAAUCCUGGCUUAAAUUAUUCUCAAAAGAAAGAGCAUGAUUAUCUCACGUGAAGCCGUGAGUUUUCAAGCCUCAAGCUGCAGACGUCCAAGGUUGAAGUCUUUAAACUUACCAAUUACUCCCAUUUCGUGUGGAAAAUGAGGUGUUAAAUGGCUGAACCAUCCAGUCCCAGUCACAAAGCACUUUUUGGUCAGAGAAUGAUCGUUUAAACAAUCUGGCCUGAUUAUACUGAGACGCAUUGCAUCCGAUCUAAAAGUCAAGUGCAUCAGUCAGUCAGUUUUCCUGGCUAAACAUCGUUGCCAUUUCCUCACUUAAAAUCGAUGAUAUCUAGUAUUGGCAGAAGAGAAUCUUCAUUUAAAGCUCAACCAUUAGGGGACAUCAGUUUUACUCUAAAACAUUUUUCGACUCCCAUUGUGCAUGUGGCGUGAUAUUUGGCGUCAGCAUUAAUUUUCAGGCGGCGAAUCGCGUGCUCGGCUGUUUACGCCUUUUGCCUGAGGUCCAAUUGGACCGCGUUUAACAGAAAGUAACCAAGCCACAUAAGCUAUUGCCAAAUUGAACUGGACAAUUACAUCUUUUUAAAGAGAACGUUUGUGCGGAUUCUUUUCAAAAUGUUAAGGAAUUUUUCUCGUACCAUGCAGGAAAUUCACCGAAAUUUUCACAAAAUUCCGCACAACCUAUUUCAUGAAAAAAUUAAAUUUCUCAGUUAAAUUUGGCGAUAGCUCACGUGGCUUCGUUACUUUCUGCUUGACGCGGUCCAAUUGCAUGUCAUGUAAGGUGCGAAAAUACAUGCCUAAUGCCAAUUUUGUAUUAUACAGACUCAAUCAACCAACAAUUCGUGAAAUGAAAUUGCGCACUGACACUAUUAUUUGUAUAUUAGAGCAAGCUGAUCGAUGAUCCCAACAGUGGCGUGGCGUGCAUUGCGAUAUAUCGAUUGAUAUGUAAUUUAAACCUAUGGAAAAGGAUCGAUAAACAGGGAGUUCGCAGCGAACACCCUGUUUAUCGAUCCUUUUCCAUAGGAUUAAACGGCAGAACAAUCGAUACAUCGCAAUGCACGCCACGCCACUGGAUCCCAAGUAUUUUUUAAGUUUCCGAAUGGUACAUCCUCUGCAUGUUGCUGAUUUAAGGCGGCUAUGUAAUUACAUGGACGAUUACUCACUCAGUCCAUAUUUUUAAGAUUAACACGAGCCCUCGUACGAGAAAAGGGUGAGGAAUUUUCGCACUUCGGUCUCCGACUAACCCGGUUCCCUCUAGCAAGUCGCAUUGAGUAUUUACUAUGAUUACACUUUCAAAACUCAGAAUAAGGCACGCUAUCGAAUGUAUAGAAGGCAAAUACGAAAAAAAUGAACAAAGAAGUUUGCCGCAGAUAAAACCCUGGUUUGAUUUCUCCUGAAAUCUAUUUUGGGAGCCUCAAUGAAAGUAUAGCCACUCUUAAAUUAUGGCUUAUAUGAACUGCCUAUAAAGGCGAUACAGUCUGCUUAAGAGAUUGCAUUAUUUUUAUCCUCUCGCCUCAGUUCAGAAUACAGCUAAUUCCACGACCCGAUUUUAACAUGACGAGCAAAAUAAACAUGAUGGCUCAGGAGGCAAUAUUUUUAAGGAACGUGAGAUUUUGGAUUUUGCGGGACUAUUAAGGGUCGCAAAGAAAGAGCAAGCUUCUUAUGAGCAGAGGCGGAUCCAGCGAUUUGGCAACACCGGACUUCCUCCAUUUAAACCUGUGUUAAAUUAUCGAUUCUUGUCGGGGCACCUGGCCCCUCCAAGAAUCGAUACAUUUCCAUAGGUAUAAAUGGAGAAAAACAAUGUUGCCAAUUUGCUGUAACCGCCAAUGCUUAUGAGUCGUUCAUGAAAUAUGUAACGCACUCGGCGGAGGGAAGGUCUGAGUGUGCCAGUGGCGUGGCGUGAAAUGCGCUUUAUCGAUUGUUCUGCCAUUUGAACCUAUGGCAAAGAAUCGAUUAUUUAAGUGUUGGCUGUGAACACCCUAUUUAUCGAUCCUUUUCCAUAGGUUUAAAUGGCAUAACAAUCGAUAUAUCGCAAAGCAGGCCGCGCCACUGAGUACAUUACAUGCGGAGCAGGAGAAGCGCUUAGGGCUGCGUUAGGUAACAUUAAAAUGGAUGCAUAGCAUCGAUUUUUCGACAAUCUAAGAUGGAAAAUCAACCCGAAAUGGCUACUUUUGUCUCUAAUUUUCAUCAAAAACGUUAAUGUGCAGGGGUAGAGUCGAACUGAGCAUUAAAUAAUUUUUUUCAAGGGGCAUGCAUGUAUGUGGCUCGGAUGCGUAAAGAGGGGUGAAGGAAGCCAAAUAUCUGAUUUUUAUAGCAUUUUUGUGGAAUCAUUACAAGCCCAACCUAGAAUAGCCAAAUGAGAUUUCGGAUUUUCUUAGAUUCGCAGGACUGCAUAUAGUGUCAUUCUUUAAACAGCUCCUCUCCAUGGUCUCAUAUGGUUUAGAUUGUAAUUAAGACAGUCUCAGACUGAAAAAAAAAUAUCGGUGUAUUUACUAAGAAAAUGGUAAAAUUACCAAGAAUUCAGGGUUCUAUUUGAUCCC